UCCUCACACUUUACCUCACUUCUCACCGUCAUCUCACUCUCACUCUCACUCUCACUCUCGCUUCUCACUCUCACUAAUGGCUUCUUCUAUCUUUUGCGCAUAGCUUCAAUGGCUGCGUCAACUCAUUCUCCUUUUGGAUCUUCAUGUGGUAAGUUGCUAGGCUCAUGUUGAUCAUGCUCUGUUGCUAUGUAUAAGUUGCUUCGAGGGAGGAGGUUCAAUUCUUUAAAAGGCCAUCUACAAAAUAUUGUGCUUGAAGUUGGCCUUGGUUUCUAAGUGCAAAUGGAGGACUUUGUUGCUGAUGACUCUUCCACUCAGAAAGAAGAGCUGAGGAAACCCAUGCGAAAGAGUUCAUGUUCCUGUAUCUAUUGCUGAGACUAGGAUUUCCAAAAGAUAUGAUGCUAUUCCAAGUGGAACACUAUAUCCAAAUGCUGAUGAAAUUAAGUAUCUUCAAAGGCUUCUGAUUUACAAGGCAUGGCUUUCAUUGAAUAUCAUCUCUAUUUUAUAUUACAGUUUUCUGUUAGUAUUCUUGUUGUUAAAUUGCAUGGAAAUAUAUUUUGUUCACUACAUAUUGUGCUCAAAUGUAUUAUUACUUUCAGCGGCUAUUAUUGUGCUAAAUAAACCUCCAAAAUUGCCGGUUAAGGUUUGAAUGUCUAUUCUCUUACAUUUACAGGAAUUAACUUUGACUUUAUUGUGAGAUUUUAAUUUCUUGCUGAUGACCUUGUUAGGGGAAUUUGCCAGUUCAUAAUAGCAUGGAUGCAUUGGUAGCUGCAGCACUGUCCUAUGAUUAUGAUGAGGGUCCUAAACUGGUGCUUCUAAAUGAUGGAUUCCUCUGUACCUUAUUUCAUAUUCUUCAUACUCCUACUCCUGUAGACCACAAAAUCACAAUUACCUACAAAAUCUAUUGUAACUGUAAAAACAGAAUCACAAUCAACUAAAAUUCCAAUUGUUAUAGUGGAAACAGAGGUUAACAAAAACAAUAUGGUUCAAGAUGAUGACCUCACUUCCUUGCUCAAGCUUACUAGAAAAGAUAAUGAUGAAGUUGUUCGCAUACUAGCAGCAAAGACAAUUGCCAAUUUAUUCAUGAAUGGAAAUUGAUGAACCUGCAUUGAAGGAGGACAUUUGUUUAUUUUGUGCUUUGCAGGAUUCAAUUGCAAUUGAUGAAGACCUUUUAGAUAUUUUAGCAAAUAGCUCUAAAUCAUAAGAGACAUUUUAGACAUUUUAGCAAAUAGCUCUAAAUCAUAAGAGACCUUGCUUUCUUUAGGGAUAUAAUAUUAAUUAUCUUAUAAAUGAAAUUAUGUAAUUUCUUUGGAUCAUGACAUCAUUGACUAUUCAUUGUCUUUUUA